GGUAGCCGGCCUGAGAGGGUGNCCGGCCACACUGGGACUGAGANACGGCCCAGACUCCUACGGGAGGCAGCAGUGGGGAAUAUUGCACAAUGGGCGCAAGCCUGAUGCAGCGACGCCGCGUGRGGGAUGACGGCCUUCGGGUUGUAAACCUCUUUCANUAGGGANGAAGCGCAAGUGACGGUACCURYRGAARAAGCACCGGCCAACUACGUGCCAGCAGCCGCGGUAAUACGUAGGGUGCGAGCGUUGUCCGGAAUUACUGGGCGUAAAGAGCUCGUAGGUGGUUUGUCGCGUUGUCCGUGAAAUUUCRMARCUCAAUUGNGARCGUGCGGGNGAUACGGGCARACUGGAGUNCUGYAGGGGA
rnacentral:rRNA from 1 species